UACGGAGGAUGCAAGCGUUAUCCGGAUUUAUUGGGUUUAAAGGGUGCGCAGGUUGUUUGAUAAGUCAGUGGUGAAAGUCUGUCGCUUAACGGUAGGAUUGCCAUUGAUGCUGUUAGACUUGAAUAUGGAUGAGGUAGGCGGAAUGUGUAGUGUAGCGGUGAAAUGCAUAGAUAUUACACAGAACACCGAUUGCGAAGGCAGCUUACUAAUCCAUCAUUGACGCUGAGGCACGAAAGCGUGGGGAU
rnacentral:rRNA from 1 species